CAUGGCCUUUUGUUAUUAAUAUAAGGUCUAACCUGCCCAAUGAUAAUUUAUUAAAUGGCCGCGGUAUUUUGACCGUGCAAAGGUAGCAUAAUCAUUAGUUUUUUAAUUGAAAGCUGGAAUGAAAGGUUGAAUGAGAAAAUAACUGUCUUUGUAAUAUUUAAUUAGAACUUUAUUUUUAAGUAAAAAAGCUUAAAUUUUAUUUAAAGACGAGAAGACCCUUUAGAGUUUUAUAAAACUUUUAUUUUUGCUUUUUUAGAAUUAACUAUAAGAGAGUAAAAUUUUAUUUGAUUGGGGCGAUUAAAAAAUUUAAGUAACUUUUUUUUUUAUUGAACAUUAAUAUAUGAAUAUUUGAUCCAUAGAUUAUGAUUACAAGAUUAAAUUACCUAAGGGAUAACAGCGUUAUUUUUUUUGAGAGUUCUUAUCGAAAAAAGAGAUUGCGACCUCGAUGUUGGAUUAAAAUUAAAUUAUGGUGUAGAGGCUAUAAC
rnacentral:rRNA from 1 species